rnacentral:tRNA from 1 species
GCGUCCGUAGCUCAGAAGGAUAGAGCAGCGGUUUCCUAAACCGCGAGCCGGGGGUUCGAGUCCCCCCGGGCGCA